ACAGCUGCAUUGUAAUGGAGAACUCUUAGUCCAAUACUGAUCUCCCACAACGGCGAAGCAAAUGCAGAUAAUUACUGACAAAAUAAAUGGCAUAAAUACUCUCUUCAUUUGUGCUCUAUUGUGAUGCAUGCACUUCUGUUACUGCAGCAUAAACAGGCAUCUCUUGACUACAGAAGUGUCAUUGCAGAUCACUUGGAAGGAUUAAUGGUACUUCCCUUCAGUUUAAUGAAACCAUUCGUGAAAGUAGAAGAGCAAGCUGGAUUUGAUCCUAGACGGUAUCCCAUCCCACAGGAGUAUGUGGCAGAUGAUCACAGAAACUGAAGCAAAUUUGAGGAUCCACGAUGGGCAAGAAGGAUGCUAUUACUACUGUUCCAAGAGUGAAGUUCUCUCCGGACUUCAUGGUGAAUCUCAGCUCCACACUCCACGGGCCCAGACCGCACUCAGUGACAUCAGGCUGAGGCUUCCAUUAGGGCCACUUGAAACAAGAGACCACAUGGGACACUGAAAUGAAAAAAACAGUAUGCACUGGACUUGCCAAUAGAAUCCUAGAUAUUCGAGAUGGAAAAGACAAGAUGUUUGGGGAGUUUCCCUCAUGGGGAUGUUACUACAGCUAAAGCCCAAUUUUAU